UACAGAGGUCCCGAGCGUUGUUCGGAUUCACUGGGCGUAAAGGGUGCGUAGGUGGUGAGGUAAGUCCGAUGUGAAAUCCCGCAGCUCAACUGCGGAACUGCAUCGGAUACUACCUGGCUAGAGGGUUUGAGGGGGGACUGGAAUUCUCGGUGUAGCAGUGAAAUGCGUAGAUAUCGAGAGGAACACCAGUGGCGAAGGCGAGUCCCUGGAAAACUCCUGACACUGAGGCACGAAAGCUAGGGGAGCAAACAGG
rnacentral:rRNA from 1 species